rnacentral:rRNA from 1 species
UACAGAGGUCUCAAGCGUUGUUCGGAUUCAUUGGGCGUAAAGGGUGCGUAGGUGGCUUUUUAAGUCAGUGGUGAAAUACAGCCGCUCAACGGUUGAGGUGCCAUUGAUACUGAAGAGCUUGAAACAAGUGGAGGCUGCCGGAAUGGAUGGUGUAGCGGUGAAAUGCAUAGAUAUCAUCCAGAACACCGAUUGCGAAGGCAGGUGGCUACGUUUGAUUUGACACUGAGGCACGAAAGCAUGGGGAGCAAACAGG